rnacentral:rRNA from 1 species
CCUACGGGUGGCAGCAGUGAGGAAUAUUGGUCAAUGGGCGUAAGCCUGAACCAGCCAAGUCGCGUGAGGGAUGAAGGUUCUAUGGAUUGUAAACCUCUUUUAUAAGGGAAUAAAGUGUGGGACGUGUCCUUUUUUGUAUGUACCUUAUGAAUAAGGAUCGGCUAACUCCGUGCCAGCAGCCGCGGUAAUACGGAGGAUCCGAGCGUUAUCCGGAUUUAUUGGGUUUAAAGGGUGCGUAGGCGGCCUUUUAAGUCAGAGGUGAAAGUCCGUGGCUCAACCACGGAAUUGCCGUUGAAACUGGGAGGCUUGAGUGUGGUUGAGGCAGGCGGAAUGCGUGGUGUAGCGGUGAAAUGCUUAGAUAUCACGCAGAACACCGAUUGCGAAGGCAGCCUGCCAAGCCAUGACUGACGCUGAGGCACGAAAGCGUGGGGAUCAAACAGGAUUAGAUACCCGAGUAGUC